rnacentral:rRNA from 1 species
UACGUAGGUCCCGAGCGUUGUCCGGAUUUAUUGGGCGUAAAGCGAGCGCAGGUGGUUUAUUAAGUCUGGUGUAAAAGGCAGUGGCUCAACCAUUGUAUGCAUUGGAAACUGGUAGACUUGAGUGCAGGAGAGGAGAGUGGAAUUCCAUGUGUAGCGAUGAAAUGCGUAGAUAUAUGGAGGAACACCGGUGGCGAAAGCGGCUCUCUGGCCUGUAACUGACACUGAGGCUCGAAAGCGUGGGGAGCAAACAGG